rnacentral:lncRNA from 1 species
CAAAGGAUCACUUGAUAUACUUGACUCAGCUUGUUCCUCUUGAUGAGUCGCAUCAUUCCCCCUUUCCUCAAAAGGAUUCGUCCUCGAAUCAUCACCUACAUCAAAGGGAGAAAGAUCAGCAACAUUGAAUGUAGUACUAAUGUUAUACUCACCUGGAAGAUCUAUCUUGUAAGCAUUGUCAUUGAUCUUCUCAAGAACUUGAAAUGGACCAUCCCCUCUAGGAUUCAGUUUGCACUUCCUUUGU